CAGCGAUGGCCGCGGAGGGGGCGAACUGGGUUCCGGCCCUCGGAGGCUGACGGAAGGCGGUGGCUGAGGAGCGGCGCCUCUGGUUGAGCGCUCGCCGUGUGUCCCGCACCUGUCUGUCCUGCCGCCGCCCGAGUCUCACUCUGUUGCCAAGGCUGGAGUGCAGUGGCGGGAUCUCGGCUAACUGCAACCUCCCCAUCCCGGGUUCAAGCGAUUCUCCUGCCUCAGCCUCCCGAGUAGCUGCGAUUACAGACAUUUGCCACCAUGCCCGGCACAGCACAGCACCGCACAUCUCCAGUCGGACUGGCUACAUUUCAAGGGCUCAACCAUCACGCGUUACCAGUGGCUACUGCAUCAGACUGUGCAGUGCUAGAUGGGGAGUCAGAAGAGAAACCAAGUGAUUUCCAUGUCAAGUGGUGAACAGGCUAAGAAGAAAAAGUCUCGCUGCAUCCCCCAGGCUGGAGUACAGUGGUAUGAUCUUGGCUCACUGCAACCUCUGCCUCCUAGGUUCAAGUGAUUCUCCUGCCUCAGUCUCCCGAGUAGCUGGGAUUACAGGCGCCCACCACCAUGCCCGGCUAAUUUUUGUAUUUUUAGUAGAGAUGGGGUUUCACUAUGUUGGCCAGGCUGGUCUCAAACUCCUGACCUCAGGUGAUCUGCCUGACUUGGCCUCCCAAAGUGCUGGGAUUACAGGCAUGAGCCACCUUGCCUGGCCUCUUCCUAAUGAUUUUUUAAAGUACAUCUUGUUUUCUCUGUCUUACUUUAUCAUAAAAAUAUAUGAUACAAAUAAAAUACAGAAUAUGUGUUAAUGGACUGUGUAUGUUAUGAGUAAGCCUUCCAGUCGACAGUGGGCUAUUAUUGGUGGUUAAGUUUUGGGGGAGUGUGUGUUCAAGGGUCAACCGCACUUCCUGAGGGCACUGUGAGAACUAAGUUAAAUAACCCACUUUUACAAUCUUUGGAACCGGGGGCAGGUGGCUGGGGCUCACACCUGUAAUUACAGCACUUUGGGAGGCUGAGGCAGGA
rnacentral:lncRNA from 1 species